rnacentral:rRNA from 1 species
CCCCGGGCUCAACCUGGGAACUGCGUUNUGAACUGGGUGACUAGAGUGUGUCAGAGGGAGGUAGAAUUNCACGUGUAGCAGUGAAAUGCGUAGAGAUGUGGAGGAAUACCGAUGGCGAAGGCAGCNUCCUGGGAUAACACUGACGUUCAUGCCCGAAAGCGUGGGUAGCAAACAGGAUUAGAUACCCUGGUAGUNCACGCCCUAAACGAUGUCGAUUAGCUGUUGGGCAGCAUGACUGCUUAGUAGCGAAGCUAACGCGUGAAAUCGACCGCCUGGGGAGUACGGUCGCAAGAUUAAAACUCAAAGGAAUUGACGGGGACCCGCACAAGCGGUGGAUGAUGUGGAUUAAUUCGAUGCAACGCGAAGAACCUUACCUGGUCUUGACAUGUACGGAACCCUCCAGAGACGGAGGGGUGCCUUCGGGAGCCGUAACACAGGUGCUGCAUGGCUGUCGUCAGCUCGUGUCGUGAGAUGUUGGGUUAAGUCCCGCAACGAGCGCAACCCUUGUCAUUAGUUGCCAUCAUUAAGUUGGGCACUCUAAUGAGACUGCCGGUGACAAGCCGGAGGAAGGUGGGGAUGACGUCAAGUCCUCAUGGCCCUUUUGACCAGGGCUUCACACGUCAUACAAUGGUCGGUACAGAGGGUAGCCAAGCCGCGAGGUGGAGCCAAUCUCACAAAACCGAUCGUAGUCCGGAUUGCACUCUGCAACUCGAGUGCAUGAAGUCGGAAUCGCUAGUAAUCGCAGGUCAGCAUACUGCGGUGAAUACGUUCCCGGGUCUUGUACACACCCCCCGUCACACCAUGGGAGUGGGGGAUACCAGAAGUA